GCCGGUGUAGCUCAGGGGUAGAGCGCAUCCUUGGUAAGGAUGAGGUCAUGAGUUCAAAUCCCAUCACCGGCUCAA
rnacentral:tRNA from 4 species